GAUGAACGCUAGCUACAGGCUUAACACAUGCAAGUCGAGGGGUCUUGACGGAGCUUGCUCUUGAUAGACGACCGGCGCACGGGUGAGUAACGCGUAUCCAACCAGCCCUUCAUAUUGGGAUAGCCUUCCGAAAGGGAGAUUAAUACCGAAUAACAUAUCAAGAUUGCAUGAUAUUGAUAUGAAAGAUCCGUCGAUGAAGGAUGGGGAUGCGUUUCAUUAGGUAGUAGGCGGGGUAACGGCCCACCUAGCCAACGAUGAAUAGGGGUUCUGAGAGGAAGGUCCCCCACACUGGAACUGAGACACGGUCCAGACUCCUACGGGAGGCAGCAGUGAGGAAUAUUGGUCAAUGGGCGCAAGCCUGAACCAGCCAAGUAGCGUGGAGGAUGACUGCCCUAUGGGUUGUAAACUUCUUUUUUACGGGAACAAAUGUUGCUACGUGUAGCAAUUUGCGUGUACCGUACGAAUAAGCAUCGGCUAACUCCGUGCCAGCAGCCGCCGUAAGAC
rnacentral:rRNA from 1 species